rnacentral:lncRNA from 1 species
GAAAUUUUUACAAUCAGUAGCGAUGGAGAAGGAAUUGCCCGAAACAAAAUCCAUAACUUUGUUCCCAACAAAACUUCUUGCAAAUUAACCAGAAAACUUCGUAGAAACCCUAGUUGGACCUUGGAAAUAAGGGUUAGGUCCUAUUUUUUCCUCAGAGACGAAGAAGAAAUGUUAUGUGCCGUCCGGCCAUGGCCAUGGCCGUGCCUCAUUUCCUUGGUCAGGCAUCUGAUGUUGCCAUUUUCUAGCUGCCAUGGUUCUGUAGAAGCCAUUUGUUGCACUCUCUAAAAGGAGAAAACAAAGUUUAUAAUCCUCUGUAUGCAAUUAAGAUAUGUGUGACCUGUGCAUGGAGUAAUGAUUCUUGUUUGGUUCUUGGAGUGAGCUGAUUUGUUUGUGUAUAUAUACGCCUUAUACC